CUAGAUCUAAAAGCAAAUUACAAAACUAUUGAGUUUUUUCAAGUAACUAUUUCAUUUUUACAAAUGAAAUGGUGACUAAAAAACCCACGUGUAAAUUUUUCAUUAAUAUCAGCAAUUUUCUAGAAAUUUAAUGAAUUAUUGAAAAUACAGUAUUUGUACCAGAUUUUAUUUAAAGCUUCCUUUCAUUAUUUUUUUAGGAGAGAGUUAGAGCAAUUAAAUUACCAAUUAAGACUAUUUUCAUUUAGCAUUUUUUCAAACCUUUCCAAAUUCAACAUUCAGCCCUUCAUAGAGUUACGCAGUAAAAUGCUAGUGAUUUGUUCAAUAAACUAGUAAUAACUGGAAUAUAAGCAAGUAUUUCUAGGGUGAUUCCUUCAAUAGAAAUGUAAAUUAGCUGAUCUUCAUAAUCUAGACUUAGUUUAUAUGUUUCACCCAAACUGUACCUACAGCACUUCAAACAUACAAUAUUCCAUUCACCUCAAGCAUACAAAAUUCUGUUUAUUCUUUGGUAUUUGCAUAUACCACUUGAAAUGGUAUAUAUACCAUUAAUAUAUAUACUUACUACACUUCCCUUCCUUUUUUUGCCUAGCUCUUUCUUUAAGAAAGUCAACUCGUUAGAAGAGAUUUCCCUGGAAACCCUCAUCUGCCUUUUCUAAUAAACUAUAGGCUCCUUAAGAGUCAAGACUGUUUUUUACUCUUUAUUCCCAGUACUCAGCAGAGUGUCCAGCACAGAAUACACCUCAAUGUGUAUUGAAUGCAUGGAUGAAUAAAUGGAUACAUGGAUGAACAUCCUAAAUUACUGUCAAAGCAGAAUUACGGUCAAGAGUAGGAGGUAGACUAGGUUUGAAUGCAGGCUCUACUACUUAAUGACAAAUGGUAAGAGAAAUAAAACAAGCCAAUGACCUUCUUCAUGCCUAUUUUCUCAUGUGUAAAUGAGAGAAUUCAUACUACUAUCUUAAACAAUUGUAUCUCAAAGGAUUGUUGUGAGGUUUAAAGGUGAGAUACAAAUGAAGUAUUAGUCUAAUCCAUGGCUGAUAAUAAGUGCUCUAAGUGUUGGCGGUGAUUACUUUCUCUGGUUAUUAUUGCGUAUGUACUCAAUUUAGUCUUAUUCUUCUAAAUUGUUCUCCCCAGUCAUUACUUUAUAUUUCCCAUCAUCUAUAGGAUUCUCUAUAAAUUAUCUCCAAAGUUCUAAAUUAAAUACUAUAAAUUAAUGAAAGUAUUAGAAUGCUAUAGAUAGCCAUAGGCCCAUUUUGAUAUAUAUUUCUCUCUGUUUUAUCUCAGUGUAAAGUGUUUUUUUGUUUGUUUGUUUGUUUGUUUCAUUUUUUGUGUUUUGUUUUCUACAACAGUGCAAAUAUUUAACUUGUGCCCUGCUAGGACUACCAAAUACUUUUACCUUUACUUGCUCAUAGACAGCUCAGCUGAGUUUGAAAGGGUUCCAUGCAUAAUAUAAGGUAAAAUUCACUCAGCAGAUAUUUACUAAACAACUAGAUGUGUUAAGAAAUUAGGCACAGUAUUAUAUGACAUGCAAGGAUAAAUGUGAUUUUCAGACUCUUUCCUUGGGGGACUUACAGUCUGGUAGGAGACAGAAGACAAGUUCCUAAAUAAGUAUGCAGGGUAGCCUAUGACAAGAGUUAGUGUGAGGUGUUUGGAGAGGGCAAAAAUCAGUUCUUGCUGCAAGACACAGGAAAUGUUUCACGGAGCAGCCGACUGUGACAGAGGCCUUGAAGACUAUGUACAAUUAAGAAAUCACAAGUACAGCAUAAGUAAUGGCACAGAGAAGGGAAAUUUCAAGCAAUGCCAAUUGGAUGAUAAAUAGCCUGCUCAUGUUACAGAAUGGGUGGUGGCAGGCACAGAUUUCACUUGAAUAUCAGAAUCACCAUGUGUCCAUGGAGACAAUCCAAUAUGGUCCCUCCUGGCCCUACUGUUAAUCACUGCUUUACAGAACUACCAUUAGUCCCUUGAAGUUAGUUUCCUUGAAGAAUGAAAAAAGAAAGGCUUUGAGUGCUGGUAGAAGUGAGGAGUGAAGGAUGUGAUUGGAUAAAUAGACUGGGAACAGAAUGUAGAUAUUCUUAACACAUUUAAAUGUGAUAAAAUUCAGAUAGCCACAAAAAAUUACAGAAGGGUUCUCAGCAAGCUACAAAAAUAAUGAAUUGCUAUAUCAGUUAAAGUUCUAAGAAUAGGUUUGGCUCAUAGAGAAUCUGGCUGAUGAUCUAAAAUAAUUAUGGAAUUUCAUGAAUUUAGGUUAAAAGGGGUUUGAGUAGCAGCUUUCAGCAACAGCCUCUGUUAACAAGGAAAAACACUAGCACAGAUGGAUUUGUGCUUGAUACGGCAUGGUACUUUCCAUGUUGAUUUGGCAGAUUAGUGCUUACUGGGUUUUCUUCAUGCUUUUAGCAACAAAAUUACAAAUAGCUGUGGACAGAUUUCAUUUGACUUUUAUUCUAUUGGUUGUUUUUUGGCAGGUACUAUGAGGACAGUGCCAGUAGUAUUUUGUCAUGCAUACAACAGCCAACUGCAUAACUUCUAUGAAAAAGCCAUUUCCUUAGUGGCAGAAUAUAAAUUCAUGACCUAGGGCACUCACGUAUUUUGUAUCAUAGGUCAACACAUUUUAUUUUCCUCACCAAAUAGUUUAAAUAUUUUGUCAAAUGUUUCUCAUUUAAGGAUGUAAUAUUUAACAUUAUUUGCUCAUUUUACUUCAACCUUUCAGCUCUGCAAAUAAAAGUAUAUAUUGAAAGAUGGUGACAUCUGUUAUUCACUGCAAAGAUGCAGCAGACCUCAGACUCCACUGCAUCUACGGGGAUGAAUCUCUCAGAAGCUCAAGCUGCACCAAGCCGCCCCAGGCUCCUCCCUCUCAGGCUCCUCAUUGGCUGGCAGAGCGGUGGGACCUUGGAAGCCUCGCUGCCUCCCUUUGAACCUUGAAAAUGAGGAGAGAGCAAAACGAAUUACAUCCUUAACCGGGAGUUCAAAGAGUUAAAUGUCUAUUUUUGGAGAGGUCGAAUCAGGGCAGCUGCUGGCGACAAAACCUGCCCUUGCUACUGAGCAUGCUCAGCGUCACUUAGAAACCCACAGAAGUUUCAGGAUAUACGUCUCUUCUCUAAGGUUUUAGUGGAUACCACAAGGGGAAGAGCAAAAAGGAAGGGAGAUUUUCAAGAGCUGUAAAACGAGAUGAGGGAGAAGGAACGAGGGAAAUGGGGGAGGAGGGACAAGAGUGUCAACAUAAAGAGUCUGAAAAGAGUAUUGAAUGAAUGUAAAAUGGAGAGAAAAGAAAGUGACAAGUGUGGAGGCCACUGGAAAAAACAAAGUAUCAAAUACUUAGAUAUGAUCUUUGGUGCCGCUGCCCCAACCCCCAUUUUGUUUUUUUCUGUGAUUCCACAUGAAGUCCUAGAACCUAUCAGACAAGUUGUAAUUGAGGAUAUUCCUUUUUGUGGGUUUUUUGUUUUGUUUUGUUUUGUUUGGGGGGGGGUGUUUGUUUGUUUUUGGUAAAUAGAAGUCUUCUGUAGUAUAAAAAAUAAUUAUUUGCUAUACUCCCAUCCGUAUGUUUACUUGUCCUUAUAGUAAAAAUCUUCCAACUCCAUAACGGCUAUUUUUAGCAAUGGAGCAUAUUUAUUUACAAUGUAACUAUUAAAUAAACGAGUGCAAGGUUUCA